rnacentral:lncRNA from 1 species
CACUGUAUUCCCCUUUGUAAUAUAUUACCGAAAGCCUUUAUUCAUUCCAGCUUGUUAGAGUUGGAGAAGAAGCUUAUGCCUCACUUUUCAAAGCGUCAAAAGCUGCAAUGAAGUAAGUCUACAAUGCGGUGCUGAGAAAGGAGUUGGACCUGACUGAAUUUGGACAUAUUAUUAGCCGAUGUAGGGAUCUGACCGGUCCAAAUCUCGAUCUUCGUUGUGCUAG